rnacentral:rRNA from 1 species
AUUGAACGCUGGCGGCAUGCUUUACACAUGCAAGUCGAACGGAUUUUGGAGCUUGCUCCAGAGUUAGUGGCGAACGGGUGAGUAAUAUAUCGGAACGUACCCGGCAAUGGGGGAUAACGUAGCGAAAGUUACGCUAAUACCGCAUAUGCCCUGAGGGGGAAAGCAGGGGACCAGUAAUGGCCUCGCGUUGUCGGAGCGGCCGAUACCAGAUUAGCUAGUUGGUGGGAUAAAAGCUCACCAAGGCGACGAUCUGGAGCGGGUCUGAGAGGAUGAUCCGCCACACUGGAACUGAGACACGGUCCAGACUCCUACGGGAGGCAGCAGUGGGGAAUUUUGGACAAUGGGGGCAACCCUGAUCCAGCCAUGCCGCGUGAGUGAAGAAGGCCUUCGGGUUGUAAAGCUCUUUCGGCCGGGAAAAAAUCGCAUGGAUUAAUACUCUGUGUGGAUGAUGGUACCGGAAUAAGAAGCACCGGCUAACUACGUGCCAGCCGCCGCAGUAA